rnacentral:rRNA from 1 species
UACGUAGGUGGCGAGCGUUAUCCGGAUUUAUUGGGUUUAAAGGGUGCGUAGGCGGGCAUUUAAGCCGGCGGUCAAAUGUCGGGGCUCAACCCCGGCCUGCCGUCGGAACUGGGUGCCUUGAGUGGGCGAGAAGUAUGCGGAAUGCGUGGUGUAGCGGUGAAAUGCAUAGAUAUCACGCAGAACCCCGAUUGCGAAGGCAGCAUACCGGCGCCCUACUGACGCUGAGGCACGAAAGCGUGGGGAGCAAAUAGG